AGCUCAUGGCAACACUGGAUCUUUUAACCCACCAAGUGAGGCCGGGGAUCAAAACCACAUCCUCAUGGAUACUAGUCAGGUCCAUUGCUGCUGAGCCAUGAUGGGAAGUCUUAUCUGUACCACCUCUGAGUAUGGCUUUAAGGUAUCUUCAAUAGCAGGGGGGGAGGUAAUCACAGGUGUUCGGAAAAAAAUCCACCCCAUCCUAGAAAACAAAACCUCAAAGGUAAAGCCAAACAGAGCAGGUGAGUUAAUUUGAACAAAAAGCUGGCAAUUUCAUCACUAAGCAGGUGAAGGGUUACCAGGAACGGGACUGGGACCAGGUGCUUUCACUCACACUUAAAAAAAACCAGAACAGGCUUCAGAGACUGUGUGGGGCUACCAAACAGAGGAAGCCUGGGCUCUGGAGAGGAGGUCUGAAAAUGAAAUGGAAAUGAAUCUUCUAGUCUCUGGAUAUAAGCAUAAAAGAGCAGAGUGCUUUGCUGAUGAGAUAUUUCCAGACCUUCGGCAAAAUACCCAGUAGAGGGUGAUUAUGGUAAGAAGCACAAAUAUUGCAAAGCUGGACAUGAUAGAGAUGAUUACAGUCAUGGAGUAUGUAGGUGAGACAGAGAAGGAGGAAGAAGAGGAGGAAGGCACAUUUGGAAUGUCCACACUCGGCUUUGAGGAUGUCAUUGGUGGGAAUGCUGUGAUGGUGGGGACUGGGAUUCCUGUUGCUGUGCAGCGCAGGGUCACAAAGGAGCCAAAGGUGACAUUGUGGGAUUCAGGAGCCCGCAGGAUUCUGGCAAAAACUGUUGGGAAGACAGAAGUGCUCAGCAUUAUGUGAGAUGCAAACAUGAAGGCAGAUGAUGCUAUUACUAUUCCCAUUUUCGGAUGAGGAAUGAAGGCUACAGGUGGUUAAAUAACUUGCCCAAAUAAAACAAAAGCAGGAAGUGAUGCAACUGAACUUUAAGGACUACAUCCAUUUAAGAUGAAUAUAUUAAAGCUCUUGAGGAAUUAGAAUCUUCCCGUAUGAAGCUGGCAAGUUGACGAGCAGAUAGGAGAUUCCUAAAAGUGACAGAUUUGCUUUUAAUACUCCAAAGAGGUCC